AGAGUUUGAUCCUGGCUCAGAACGAACGCUGGCGGCAUGCCUAACACAUGCAAGUCGAACGAACCCUUCGGGGUUAGUGGCGCACGGGUGCGUAACGCGUGGGAAUCUGCCCUUUGCUUCGGAAUAACAGUUAGAAAUGACUGCUAAUACCGGAUGAUGUCUUCGGACCAAAGAUUUAUCGGCAAAGGAUGAGCCCGCGUAGGAUUAGGUAGUUGGUGGGGUAAAGGCCUACCAAGCCGACGAUCCUUAGCUGGUCUGAGAGGAUGAUCAGCCACACUGGGACUGAGACACGGCCCAGACUCCUACGGGAGGCAGCAGUGGGGAAUAUUGGACAAUGGACGCAAGUCUGAUCCAGCAAUGCCGCGUGAGUGAUGAAGGCCUUAGGGUUGUAAAGCUCUUUUACCAGGGAUGAUAAUGACAGUACCUGGAGAAUAAGCUCCGGCCAACUCCGUGCCAGCAGCCGCGGUAAUACGGAGGGAGCUAGCGUUGUUCGGAAUUACUGGGCGUAAAGCGCACGUAGGCGGUUACUCAAGUCAGAGGUGAAAGCCCGGGGCUCAACCCCGGAACUGCCUUUGAAACUAGGUAACUAGAAUCCUGGAGAGGUGAGUGGAAUUCCGAGU
rnacentral:rRNA from 1 species